rnacentral:snoRNA from 2 species
GGAUCGAUGAAGAGAACACUUCCCUGAGGACGCUGAGGGACUCGUUUCAGAUGUCAAUCUGAGGUCC